AAAGAACACAAGGAGCUGAGGGAGUUCUUUGCGGUACACACGGUGAUUUGUGAAGCGACAAUUCCUGAAAAAUUUUCGCCAAAUGUUCGCGACAAGCUGGUACCUACGCAAUAAAGAAUCUUUGCAACAUAACAAAAAUGUGAAGCUGGGUGAGAGAUAAUGGCAGCGGACUGCUCCUAAAAUGUCUUCCAUUCUAGGCCGUCUGUGCUCUUCAUUACUUCGAACCCACUGGGAUAUAUACCGCAUCGUCAAAUGGUGAAUUAAAUAUGAAGUCACGAGACAUUUUCACCUUUAGAACUGCGUUGUAUACAUCUCGUUCUUCCCUAACAUUUAAAUGGUCUCGUCGGAUAAGUGCUACUAGUUGGCAUGAACUCAGCUGCAAAAAUUCUUCCUCUUGGCAAACCUGAAAAACAGAAAACUUUAUAAAGUGUUUCACUUUGAACACACAGAAGUCCAAAAUAUACUUGAAUAAAGUGCUGAUCAAUAAACUCAUUUGCAGCUUU